AUUGAACGCUGGCGGCAGGCCUAACACAUGCAAGUCGAACGGUAACAGAAAGCAGCUUGCUGCUUUGCUGACGAGUGGCGGACGGGUGAGUAAUGUCUGGGAAACUGCCUGAUGGAGGGGGAUAACUACUGGAAACGGUAGCUAAUACCGCAUAACGUCGCAAGACCAAAGAGGGGGACCUUCGGGCCUCUUGCCAUCGGAUGUGCCCAGAUGGGAUUAGCUAGUAGGUGGGGUAACGGCUCACCUAGGCGACGAUCCCUAGCUGGUCUGAGAGGAUGACCAGCCACACUGGAACUGAGACGCGGUCCAGACUCCUACGGGAGGCAGCAGUGGGGAAUAUUGCACAAUGGGCGCAAGCCUGAUGCAGCCAUGCCGCGUGUAUGAAGAAGGCCUUCGGGUUGUAAAGUACUUUCAGCGGGGAGGAAGGGAGUAAAGUUAAUACCUUUGCUCAUUGACGUUACCCGCAGAAGAAGCACCGGCUAACUCCGUG
rnacentral:rRNA from 1 species